GGAGAGUGGAAUUCCACGUGUAGCGGUGAAAUGCAUAGAGAUGUGGAGGAACACCAGUGGCGAAGGCGACUCUCUGGUCUGUAACUGACGCUGAGGCGCGAAAGCGUGGGGAGCGAACAGGAUUAGAUACCCUGGUAGUCCACGCCGUAAACGAUGAGUGCUAAGUGUUAGAGGGUUUCCGCCCUUUAGUGCUGCAGCAAACGCAUUAAGCACUCCGCCUGGGGAGUACGGUCGCAAGACUGAAACUCAAAGGAAUUGACGGGGGCCCGCACAAGCGGUGGAGCAUGUGGUUUAAUUCGAAGCAACGCGAAGAACCUUACCAGGUCUUGACAUCCUCUGACAACCCUAGAGAUAGGGCUUCCCCUUCGGGGGCAGAGUGACAGGUGGUGCAUGGUUGUCGUCAGCUCGUGUCGUGAGAUGUUGGGUUAAGUCCCGCAACGAGCGCAACCCUUGAUCUUAGUUGCCAGCAUUCAGUUGGGCACUCUAAGGUGACUGCCGGUGACAAACCGGAGGAAGGUGGGGGAUGACGUCAAAUCAUCAUGCCCCUUAUGACCUGGGCUACACACGUGCUACAAUGGGCAGAACAAAGGGCAGCGAAGCCGCGAGGCUAAGCCAAUCCCACAAAUCUGUUCUCAGUUCGGAUCGCAGUCUGCAACUCGACUGCGUGAAGCUGGAAUCGCUAGUAAUCGCGGAUCAGCA
rnacentral:rRNA from 1 species